GUCGCAGUAUAUUGUGAAAGCAGUAAAGGAAGCCGAAUUGAAGAUUGUCAGACUCGCGGACUACUCCACCAGAACAGUAAGCAGACUUCAAUAAGUUGUCUUCAGAAAUUUUAGAUCUUCCGAAUGCAAUGAGUCAAGAAUCUCAGAGAGUGUGAAUGUAACCAGGUUCAGGAGAAAAGAAAGGAUAUCCUGAAGCAAAUGCAACAGACUGAUUGUGAAACUCAGCAAAUUAGGGCAAAAAUACAACUAUUAACUGAGACCUGCGCAUAUGAGACAGAAAAAGCCCAAGUAGGUAUUAAAAGAAAAUACAUUCUCCGUGAUCUAAUAUUCACUGUGAUAUAAUAUAUUAAUUUGACUUAAAGCAGUACUUCAUUUAAUUUAGUCUAAUAUUAAAUUUAUUUGAAAAAACAAUGUUUUAGAACGUGUCUUCUAAAACUGGCAAGAGUAUAUAUAAUUGAUUUGGAUGCAAGUCAAUGACUUGGUUUAACAUGAUUUUUCACACAGGCGAUGCAGGACAGUCUGGUGGCUGUGGUUGGUCAAUACCAUGAUCAUCUGGCAAGGCUUGCAAAGAUGGCACAAGAAUUGAAUGAGCCUUUUUGAGUAUAUACAAAGUAAUGUGAAGAGUAUAUGUUUUCCUCUGUAUUUCUAAAUGAUCAAUAAAUAAUUUUUCAGCACUUUGUGGUAGAGAAGUUUUUCCACAGCAGCUCUGUAUUUUAUUAUUUUUUUUAAAACAGAUACUCCCUUAAGAUACAGUAUGUUAACAAUACUGAAACGUUAGGAUGCUGGCAUGAUGCAUCUCAUGUUCAUGAUGGUAUCAUUUAAAGAUGUAUUUUUCCUGAACU